rnacentral:rRNA from 1 species
UACGGAGGGUGCAAGCGUUGUUCGGAAUGACUGGGCGUAAAGCGCACGUAGGCGGGUUUGCAAGUAGGAUGUGAAAGCCCCAGGCUUAACCUGGGAAUGGCACCCUAAACUACAGAUCUUGAAUGCUUGAGAGGUUGGUGGAAUUCCUGGUGUAGGAGUGAAAUCCGUAGAUAUCAGGAGGAAUAUCGGAGGCGAAGGCGGCCAACUGGUGGUGCAUUGACGCUAAGGUGCGAAAGCGUGGGGAGCAAACAGG